rnacentral:rRNA from 1 species
AACGUAGGAGCCUAGCGUUAUCCGAAUUCACUGGGCGUAAAGCGCGUGCAGGCGGUUCGGUAAGUUGGAUGUGAAAUCUCCUGGCUCAACUGGGAGAGGACGUUCAAGACUGUCGGACUAGAGGACGGUAGAGGAAGGUAGAAUUCCCGGUGUAGUGGUGAAAUGCGUAGAUAUCGGGAGGAAUACCAGUGGCGAAGGCGGCCUUCUGGCCGUUCCUGACGCUCAGACGCGAAAGCUAGGGGAGCAAACGGG